CCCUUAGAUGUUCUGGGCUGCACGCGCGCUACACUGAAGCGUUCAACGAGUAUUCACCUUGCCCGGGAGGGUUGGGUAAUCUUUUGAAAACGCUUCGUGAUGGGGAUAGAUUAUUGCAAUUAUUAAUCUUCAACGAGGAAUGCCUAGUAAGCGCAAGUCAUCAGCUUGCGUUGAUUACGUCCCUGCCCUUUGUACACACCGCCCGUCGCUCCUACCGAUUGAAUGGUCCGGUGAAGCGUUCGGACCGUGGCCUUUGGACGGUUCGCCGUCUGUUGGCUGCGGGAAGUUCGUUAAACCUUAUCAUUUAGAGGAAGGAGAANUCGUANCA
rnacentral:rRNA from 1 species